rnacentral:rRNA from 1 species
UUGAAACACGGACCAAGGAGUCUAGCAUGUGCGCGAGUCAUUGGGAAUAACUAAACCUAAAGGCGCAAUGAAAGUGAAGGUUCGUCUCGCACGAACCGAGGGAAGAUGGGCGUGCCGUGAUCACCGCGGCCGCCCCGCACUCCCGGGGCGUCUCGUUCUCAACGCGAGAAGAGGCGCACCAAGAGCGUACACGCUGGGACCCGAAAGAUGGUGAACUAUGCCUGGUCAGGACGAAGUCAGGGGAAACCCUGAUGGAGGUCCGUAGCGAUUCUGACGUGCAAAUCGAUCGUCGGAACUGGGUAUAGGGGCGAAAGACUAAUCGAACCAUCUAGUAGCUGGUUCCCUCCGAAGUUUCCCUCAGGAUAGCUGGCGCUCGUCGCCUACGAGUCUCAUCCGGUAAAGCGAAUGAUUAGAGGCAUUGGGGUCGAAACGGCCUCAACCUAUUCUCAAACUUUAAAUGGGUGAGAUCUCCGGCUUGCUCGAACUACUGAAGCCGCGAGACACGGAUCAGAGUGCCAAGUGGGCCAUUUUUGGUAAGCAGAACUGGCGCUGUGGGAUGAACCAAACGCCGAGUUAAAGCGCCUAAAUCGACGCUUAUGGGAUACCAUGAAAGGCGUUGGUAACUUAAGACAGCAGGACGGUGGCCAUGGAAGUCGGAAUCCG